AACGAACGCUGGCGGCAUGCCUAACACAUGCAAGUCGAACGAGACCUUCGGGUCUAGUGGCGCACGGGUGCGUAACGCGUGGGAACCUGCCCUUAGGUUCGGAAUAACUCCCCGAAAGGGGUGCUAAUACCGGAUAAUGUCUUCGGACCAAAGAUUUAUCGCCUUUGGAUGGGCCCGCGUUGGAUUAGCUAGUUGGUAGGGUAAAAGCCUACCAAGGCGACGAUCCAUAGCUGGUCUGAGAGGAUGAGCAGCCACACUGGGACUGAGACACGGCCCAGACUACUACGGGAGGCAGCAGUGGGGAAUAUUGGACAAUGGGCGGAAGGCUGAUCCAGCAAUGCCGCGUGAGUGAUGAAGGCCUUAGGGUUGUAAAGCUCUUUUACCCGGGAUGAUAAUGACAGUACCGGGAGAAUAAGCUCCGGCUAACUCCGUG
rnacentral:rRNA from 1 species